rnacentral:rRNA from 1 species
UACGUAGGGGGCUAGCGUUGUCCGGAAUCAUUGGGCGUAAAGAGCGUGUAGGCGGUCCGGUAAGUCCGCUGUGAAAGUCGGGGGCUCAACCCUCGAAUGCCGGUGGAUACUGUCGGGCUAGAGUGCGGAAGAGGCGAGUGGAAUUCCUGGUGUAGCGGUGGAAUGCGCAGAUAUCAGGAGGAACACCGAUAGCGAAGGCAGCUCGCUGGGACGGUACUGACGCUAAGGCGCGAAAGCGUGGGGAGCGAACAGG